rnacentral:misc_RNA from 1 species
GGAAAACCUCUAUCGCUCUUUUGAUCUUCGCAUUCCUUCUAGUCGACUGUUCAAUGGCAGAGGAGAUCGCGAAGUCCGGCGACGGCGAGGCCGCCGUCCACAUCGUCUACGUUGACCGUCCGGAGGGCGAGGAAGCCGAGGCUUUCCACAUCAAAGUCCUCUCCUCCGUCGUCGGCAGUGAGGAGGCCGCGAAGGAGGCUGUGGUCUACCACUACACGCAUGCCGCCAGCGGGUUCUCCGCCAAGCUGACUCCGAAACAGGUUGCCGAUCUGUCUGAGAAACCAGAGGUUCUUCAGGUGCAGGCCAGCAAAACCUAUCAGCUGCAUGGACAAGGAGCGAGUGUUGGGGGCGUACGCCCUUCCGUCCUGUAAGCUUUGGAAAGCUGCUCCUGUGCCAUGAAAACCUUGCUCUUAAGGGUCUGUCUGUGCGGUGAAUAAAGUGAAAUUAUGUAAUCUCACUCAUAUGUACUGUUUGUCUUGUACUGUAAUACUAUUUCAAACUUGUGGUGGAUGAGUGCUUAAAUUCUACUCUCAUAAUAUUGAUCAAGCAAAUGUAGGGGGUGAUUAUUGC